UACGAAGGGGGCUAGCGUUGCUCGGAAUUACUGGGCGUAAAGCGCACGUAGGCGGCUUGUUAAGUCGGAGGUGAAAUCCUGGAGCUCAACUCCAGAACUGCCUUCGAUACUGGCGAGCUUGAGUUCGGGAGAGGUGAGUGGAACUGCGAGUGUAGAGGUGAAAUUCGUAGAUAUUCGCAAGAACACCAGUGGCGAAGGCGGCUCACUGGACCACAACUGACGCUGAUGCACGAAAGCUAGGGGAGCAAACAGG
rnacentral:rRNA from 1 species